rnacentral:rRNA from 1 species
AUUGAACGCUGGCGGCAGGCCUAACACAUGCAAGUCGAACGGUAACAGGAAGCAGCUUGCUGCUUUGCUGACGAGUGGCGGACGGGUGAGUAAUGUCUGGGAAACUGCCCGAUGGAGGGGGAUAACUACUGGAAACGGUAGCUAAUACCGCAUAACGUCGCAAGACCAAAGAGGGGGACCUUAGGGCCUCUUGCCAUCGGAUGUGCCCAGAUGGGAUUAGCUAGUAGGUGGGGUAACGGCUCACCUCCGCGACGCUCCCUAGCUGGUCUGAGAGGAUGACCAGCCACACUGGAACUGAGACACGGUCCAGACUCCUACGAUCCGCAGCAGUGGGGAAUAUUGCACAAUGGGCGCAAGCCUGAU